rnacentral:rRNA from 1 species
AUGUCAGAGGGCGGAGGCUGCAACCACCCCGUUGGCCGUGCCGCACCGCGCAGCUCCGGUGAACCCAACAGACGCGCCGCCAACGCCGGUUCCAAUGAGCACCAGCGCCGUUGGGGUGGACCUAACGGAGGUUCGGGCGCCGUCACAGCAUCCGCUGGGCCCCGUGGCUCCCGUGCUCCUGCUGCUUCUGAAAAUGGGGCCCCCAUCCUAUGCGGCCCUGACAACACCAUGCAGCUCGCCAUCCUCCAAGAGGCAGAAGACCAGGAGGACCUGCAAGCUGAGCUGACCAGUGGCCGCGAAGACCUGCUGCCCGAUCUUAUUCGGAGCGCGGCUCCCUCCCUUUUGCUUCCUCGACAGGCAGCAGUUUCCUCUCCCAUGAUUCCUGCCGCGACAGGAGACCCGCCGCCUUCUGGCUCCUGCAUGCCUGCAUGGUCUCCGCACGCGGCCGUGGACCUGUCGCCGCUCGCCAAUCACAACUUGGCCACUGCCCGUGCGAGAUCGAUGCUGGUGGACCCAGAAAGAAAUGACUCGCCUGUACCUAUGGUGAGCCUCGGAGUGCAGCCGACCGCUCAAGACCCCAUGAGGCCGGCUUUGCGGGGCCUCCGCUCGGCACUAACUGAUGGGACGCCUCUUCUGGACCUCAUCUUCUUCGGGCCUGCAGCCCGUUCACCUUCUCCGGAGGAGCUGCAGCUUCAGUCCUUUAUCCGCUUCUUCACCGCGCAGCCGCCCACCCCCGUGCUCUCCUCGCUGCCGCCCAACCCUACUCCACCCCUGCCUCGCCUCCCCAGUGACACGACAGGCGGAGCAGCGGCGCAGCGUUCGCCUUGCCACGAAGCCUACCUAUGGCAUGAGCUGCCUCAACAAAGCACAAAUUGCGCUCCUGAAGAAGAAUGGGUUGCUACCUGA